UAGGGAAUAUUGCACAAUGGGGGAAACCCUGAUGCAGCGACGCCGCGUGAAGGAAGAAGUAUCUCGGUAUGUAAACUUCUAUCAGCAGGGAAGACAAUGACGGUACCUGACUAAGAAGCCCCGGCUAACUACGUGCCAGCAGCCGCGGUAAUACGUAGGGGGCAAGCGUUAUCCGGAUUUACUGGGUGUAAAGGGAGCGUAGACGGAUCUGCAAGUCUGGAGUGAAAGCCCGGGGCUCAACCCCGGGACUGCUUUGGAAACUGUAGAUCUAGAGUGCCGGAGAGGUAAGCGGAAUUCCUAGUGUAGCGGUGAAAUGCGUAGAUAUUAGGAGGAACACCAGUGGCGAAGGCGGCUUACUGGACGGUAACUGACGUUGAGGCUCGAAAGCGUGGGGAGCAAACAGG
rnacentral:rRNA from 1 species